GAUGAACGCUGGCGGCGUGCCUAAUACAUGCAAGUCGAGCGAACAGACGAGGAGCUUGCUCCUCUGACGUUAGCGGCGGACGGGUGAGUAACACGUGGAUAACCUACCUAUAAGACUGGGAUAACUUCGGGAAACCGGAGCUAAUACCGGAUAAUAUAUUGAACCGCAUGGUUCAAUAGUGAAAGACGGUUUUGCUGUCACUUAUAGAUGGAUCCGCGCCGCAUUAGCUAGUUGGUAAGGUAACGGCUUACCAAGGCAACGAUGCGUAGCCGACCUGAGAGGGUGAUCGGCCACACUGGAACUGAGACACGGUCCAGACUCCUACGGGAGGCAGCAGUAGGGAAUCUUCCGCAAUGGGCGAAAGCUUGACGGAGCAACGCCGCGUGAGUGAUGAAGGUCUUCGGAUCGGAAAACUCUGUUAUUAGGGAAGAACAAAUGUGUAAGUAACUAUGCACGUCUUGACGGUACCUAAUCAGAAAGCCACGGCUAACUACGUG
rnacentral:rRNA from 1 species